AUGGCAGAUUCUGACCGAUGUGGACUGUGUGGAAAGCAAGACUCAUGGCGUCAUUCAUUGCUAGAGUGUUCGUCAUCACGAAGCGUCUGGGCUUUGUCAGAAGAGGAUAUCAUACAUAAAAUCACAUCCACAACAGAACCACAUGCCAAGCAAUGGUUAUUUACUCUGAUGGAGGUUCUGCCCCACGAGAAAUUUGUCAAGAUGGCUGUAACUCUAUGGUCGAUAUGGUAUGCUCGACGAAAGGCAAUCCACGAAGGGAUCUUCCAGAGCCCUCAAGCAACACAUCUUUUUGUUCAGAGGUUCGUUGAUGAACUAGGGAUUGUUGGUAGUUCACAACGUCGAGCCGUUCCAAACACUCUCAAGCUCCAUCUGUACGUCAACAGAAACCUAAAAGACCACCGCCGGGCUUCUGCAAAAUCCAUGUCGACGCCGGGGUGCGAUCACGAGGAGGAUCUGCAGCUGCUGUGUGCAGGGACGGAGCGGGCAACUACAUGGGUAGUUCGGCCUUAG
rnacentral:rRNA from 1 species